rnacentral:rRNA from 1 species
GAACGCUGGCGGCGUGCUUAACACAUGCAAGUCGAACGGUGAAGCCCAGCUUGCUGGGUGGAUCAGUGGCGAACGGGUGAGUAACACGUGAGCAACCUGCCCCUGACUCUGGGAUAAGCGCUGGAAACGGCGUCUAAUACUGGAUAUGUGACGUGACCGCAUGGUCUGCGUCUGGAAAGAAUUUCGGUUGGGGAUGGGCUCGCGGCCUAUCAGCUUGUUGGUGAGGUAAUGGCUCACCAAGGCGUCGACGGGUAGCCGGCCUGAGAGGGUGACCGGCCACACUGGGACUGAGACACGGCCCAGACUCCUACGGGAGGCAGCAGUGGGGAAUAUUGCACAAUGGGCGCAAGCCUGAUGCAGCAACGCCGCGUGAGGGAUGACGGCCUUCGGGUUGUAAACCUCUUUUAGCAGGGAAGAAGCGAAAGUGACGGUACCUGCAGAAAAAGCGCCGGCUAACUACGUGCCAGCAGCCGCGGUAAUACGUAGGGCGCAAGCGUUAUCCGGAAUUAUUGGGCGUAAAGAGCUCGUAGGCGGUUUGUCGCGUCUGCUGUGAAAUCCCGAGGCUCAACCUCGGGCCUGCAGUGGGUACGGGCAGACUAGAGUGCGGUAGGGGAGAUUGGAAUUCCUGGUGUAGCGGUGGAAUGCGCAGAUAUCAGGAGGAACACCGAUGGCGAAGGCAGAUCUCUGGGCCGUAACUGACGCUGAGGAGCGAAAGGGUGGGGAGCAAACAGGCUUAGAUACCCUGGUAGUCCACCCCGUAAACGUUGGGAACUAGUUGUGGGGUCCAUUCCACGGAUUCCGUGACGCAGCUAACGCAUUAAGUUCCCCGCCUGGGGAGUACGGCCGCAAGGCUAAAACUCAAAGGAAUUGACGGGGACCCGCACAAGCGGCGGAGCAUGCGGAUUAAUUCGAUGCAACGCGAAGAACCUUACCAAGGCUUGACAUAUACGAGAACGGGCCAGAAAUGGUCAACUCUUGGACACUCGAAACAGUGG